UGCCAGACGACGUCGUUCGUACGGCAUCGUCGUCUACGCCAUCGUCUCUUACGUUUGCUUCAGCAAGUGUUUAGGCAUUGUUCCGUCGCGUCGCGUUGAAGGGACACCACUGCCGCUUUAUGGCGAAACCUGACUCGCGUCCGGAAUCGCCUCGCUGCGCCGCGCGAAGCGGCGUUUCAUUUAUUCAAAGGCGCCACGGUGAUGUUUCACAUUGACGUCCCGAGCCUCCUUGGGUUUCGUCUUCGCGCGUGAAUCUUCAUCGUCAGAAAACUUGAGCCGCUGCAUCUUGUGCCUAACGCGAUCUUCUGUUGGUGAAAAUCGACAUGUUAUUCGGAUGGUAUCCAUUACAACGCGAC